GGGGGCGGCUGCGCGACGUCCGUGGGGACCGGGUGCGGGCCGGGCCGGCUGGGUCCUCAGCUGCGCUCUCGGACGCCCGGAUUUCGGCUGUAACGCUGAGCCGAGAAGCAAGAGAUUAAACUUACCUGAUUGUAGGCUAUGGAAUACAAGAAGAAAAGAAUUCGACUUAACUUUCAGACGGCCAAGAAAUACCACCCAGAAUCUUCCUGGCAAUUGCUAGAUCCCAAAGUUUCACCAUCCAAUGAGGCACCCAUCUGUCCUGACAUGCUGGAUUAGAUUUAACUAACAUUGUCACAGCUGAAGCAAAAAAGAUCUCUUCCACGGCGGUGCUUUUUCACCGUGGUUCAACGCCCCUGUCUGUAGGAGGGAGGAAGAAAGGUAGAAUUUGUUUACAGAGAAGAAACUUUGGCUCUCAAUGACAUCAACAGGUAAGUAGGUGGCCAAGAAGUCUGUGCAAGUAACUGGAAGGAGAACUCCCUUUGUUUACCUAAUUCCUUGGCGUGAGUCAUGUGCAAACACUGUCCAUGUAGGCCCUGCGAGGUACGUCCCCAUCAGAUCACCUGGCUUCAUCCAGAUGAAUCCUAGGUAGGUCCACUGGGUUUCAAAGGAAGCUACAUACAGAUCACAGGGAAUGCCUCCUGUGGAUACUGAGGUAUUUCUAUGUAGGUCCUUACAUUAAGGACCAAAGUGGCAGAUGCUGUAGGAGGGUGGGGUAGCAUCUGGAGCCAGACCCCUUGCUUGAGGCGUGGCUGGUAUCAGCAGCUGGAGGAGGGGCAGGGGCAUGUUGCUUUACCCCUGGUGUCUCUAUUUUUCUC
rnacentral:lncRNA from 1 species